rnacentral:rRNA from 1 species
UCCGUCAUUGACGCUGAGGCACGAAAGCGUGGGGAUCAAACAGGAUUAGAUACCCUGGUAGUCCACGCAGUAAACGAUGAUAACUAACCGUCGGCGAUACACAGUCGGUGGCCAAGCGAAAGCGAUAAGUUAUCCACCUGGGGAGUACGUUCGCAAGAAUGAAACUCAAAGGAAUUGACGGGGGCCCGCACAAGCGGAGGAACAUGUGGUUUAAUUCGAUGAUACGCGAGGAACCUUACCCGGGCUCGAACGGUGCAGGAAGGAUCAAGAGAUUGUGACGCCCUUCGGGGCCUGCAUCGAGGUGCUGCAUGGUUGUCGUCAGCUCGUGUCGUGAGAUGUUGGCUUAAGUGCCAUAACGAGCGCAACCCUUGUCAGUAGUUACCAGCAAGUCAAGUUGGGGACUCUACUGAGACUGCCACCGCAAGGUGUGAGGAAGGCGGGGAUGACGUCAAAUCAGCACGGCCCUUACGUCCGGGGCGACACACGUGUUACAAUGGCGACUACAGAGGGAAGCCACCUGGCGACAGGGAGCAGAUCUCAAAAAGUCGUCUCAGUUCGGAUCGGAGUCUGCAACUCGACUCCGUGAAGCUGGAUUCGCUAG